GUCUGGGUGGUGUAGUUGGUUAUAACGUUAGUCUCACAAACUAAAGGUCCCCAGUUCGAACAUGGACUCAGACA
rnacentral:tRNA from 1 species